rnacentral:rRNA from 1 species
CCAAGGAGUCUGACAUGUGUGCAAGUACUCCGGUGUAAAACCGCUGUGCGCAAUGAAAGUACAGGUUCGCCUUCGGGCGGCCGAGAUGGGACCUUCGGGGCACCAUCGACCGGUCUGUGGGCCAUGGUUCACGGACUGCGUCUGAGCAGAUAUGUUGGGACCCGAAAGAUGGUGAACUAUGCCUGGGUAGGGCGAAGCCAGGGGAAACCCUGGUGGAGGCUCGAAGCGAUUCUGACGUGCAAAUCGAUCGUCAAACCUGGGUAUAGGGGCGAAAGACUAAUCGAACCAUCUA